CAGCCGUUAACUCGCUUACUUCGUCUUCGCAGUGUACAAUACGGCAAGGUGUAGGAAUGCGCAAAAGAACACAGAGCAGGGAUGAAAACUUCAGCAGAUUUUAAAGACGCAGAAUAAGGCUAAACCUUUCUGGUGGAUGCUGACAACAGCCCCCUUGCACAGCACCACGAGAAGUCGGUCCAAAAUGACAACUGCAUUUUGCAGACCCGAGGAAACUAGAAAACCAUUGCUCCUGCUCCUAGGCUGAGCCAUGCUCAGAAGACACAGAUGGAGU